GUCAUACCUAAAAGCAGCCUCCUCGGCCGGGUGUCCCGACCGCGGGCUCGGCUCUCGGCUCCCAGCGGGUAGCGUCAGGGCCGGGCAGGGCUGCGCGGCUCCGCGGCCGCCCAAUCUCAUUUCCCGGCUGGGCGACGGCCGGCGGCCGGGCAGCGCCUUCCCUUCCUCAACCAAUUGCAUCUCCAGCGCGGAUCGGAGGAUCGCGGGGCGUGAGGCUGGGGAGCGCCCUGGGGCCGGUGCGUGGGGGAGCUGGGAGCAGCCCCGGCGCCGCGGCGGGAGGGGGAGGAAGAAGUGGAAGGGAAAAAGGGAAAGCGAGGGAGAGGCCUGGGGCAGGCAACCCCCGGGGGCGGGCCGCGCCGGCCGGCCCAGACACUUAAAUGCCACCCCUGGGGCAUCGGCUUCUCGCUGAUGAGACCGCUGCAGGGCUGCCGCGGACGGGGCGUCGUCGUGGGGACCGUCACCCUCUGCCUGGCCGCCGGGUGGGCUCUCCAGACUCCCGGAGGAGUAUCGUUAGUUGUCCCACAACCCAACAUCAAUGCAACAGUGGCACAAAACAUCCUCCUCUCAGUUGAAUACUCUUGCAGAGGCAUUGCCACCAUUGAGUGGAAGCAUGUGUCAAGCUGGGGCACCACCAGCAUCGUUGAGUGGAAAACUGGGAAUUAUGUCAACAUAUCCACAGUCUACAAGGACAGAGUGACUACUUUUGAAAAUGGCUCUAUACAGCUUCACAACGUGGGCAUGCGAGAUGCUGGCUACUAUUUUGUCACUGUAACAGAGGAGUAUGGAAACAACGCCUACGGCACCAUCAUAGUCAAUGUUUACGAAAUUAUCUAUGAAGAUUUACAUUUUGUAGCAGUUAUCUUUGCCUUUCUCGCUGCAGUGUCUGCCAUUCUGAUCUGCUUCAUGUGGCUUUGUAAUAAAUCUCUGCAUCUGUUUCAGAAGAAGACACACAAACUCACAGCAAGUACAACGGAAGAGAUUGAAUUGGAAACCAUUGAGUGUUAGCCAAGGACUGUAUCAUAGCAAAAAUAACGAUUCUACCUCAGGAGAAAAUACUGACCAAGAAAGCAAGAACAAACCUAGAAGGACAGACUGACAGAGCUUCCCUUCUGGCCAGGGACUAGGAUGACCAGGUGCAGAGGUACUAUGGGUUCCAUUUGGAAAAACUCUCAGAGAAUUUCUCACCAAGUGAAAAACGAUGCAGAUUAGUUACACAGAAGCCAGUACAUCCAGGAACUGAAACAAGAUGCUCCAUGCUGGCAAACAUCAAGAGAACUACAAGAGCUGCUUUGGAUACACACUGAGCAGCAGCUUGCCACAAGCAGUUGCUUAGUAUGUAUUUCCCAAAACUAUUCUUUAUUACUUGAGAGUACAACAAAAUAAUAACUGUCAUCAUAGAAGUAUGAUGUUCAAUUUAAACAUGUUUAUGUGCAAGAAAUUCUCAUAUAUAUAUACAUAUAUACACACACCUCAUAACACAACAUGGAAAUGAAUCGGAACCAGUUCAUACAGACAGGUUUCAAAAAGACCUUUAGCAAUUAAGUACCAAACAAAAUAAAAGCUUUGUUAACACCUUACUAGAAGCUUCAAGGCUACAACUACCAAACCAAAACCAUCAAAACCAUGACUUUUUUUAUUUUGAAAGAACUCAAAAGAGCCGAUAUUCAGGAGGAUAUUAUUGUUUCCCUGGAUGAUAAUCAUUGAGAGUGCAGGAUAAAAACCCAGCAGCACGUGUGGAGAUCCAAGGUUUACUGCAUGAGAGUUACCACCUUCUAUCCAGACAUUAAUUUACACAAAUCACUCACAAACUCAAAUUAUCAGAAUUUUGCAAGCAGAGUAAGACCUUUCCUCUAUAUUCUUGCAAAAAAGAGAGACAGAAAACACAAGCUGUGACUUUGUAACACUCUCAACUUAAACAAACUGCCAAGUAAAUAUAUUUCUCAAAAAUAAAUGGAUCACCCAGAAUCCCCAUCAAUGUACAAACAAUCCAACUCAAGAAUGUCACACAGUGAAGACGUUACCUUGAUUUUAAGUAUUGUUUAGCUUCAAUUCUUGACACAGGAGCUCUGCUUCUACUGUUGUCCCACUUCUCAUCAAACAAGGCCAUUAGCAUCCACAGGGAUAGCCAGGUUCUGUGGUAUAAACCACUAAAAGCCCCACUGAGAGCCCAAUUCAGUUCUAAUAUUUUUAAUCUUUCAAAAAUACUUGCAAAGAUCUAUUGAAAAAAAUAAGGGCAUGAGAGGAAAGGGAAUGAUUCCAAGCAGACACCUUUCAUGUAGUAAAAGGAAUACUGAAUUUAAUUUUAUAAACAAAAAAUACGUUAGUUACUCAGUUAUGUUACUCUGGACAGAGCAAUCAGCAAAGAUACAGCUGAGUGGAACUUUUUCAAAAAAUUAUAGGUAUUUUAUAUGCCAUUGAAAAAAGUUUUAUUACAAACUCCACAAUGGACAUAUCUGUACAGGAAAUAAAUGUGGGUUUGCUUUCUUGUAUUGGCCCAUAGCUUCCAUUUCCCUUUGCUGCAGGGGCAGUGAUUGUUGCACAGAGACUAUUCAAAGCCCCCACAGAGAGGCCGACGCAUCAUUAGCAGGGAGUUAGGGCAGCCAUGAGCAGUUCCAUUUUAUACACAAAGUUACGCCCUUCCAUUUUAUUCCACUGAACUUCCCUGAAUGGCCCUCGGAGAUGAUUCCACUUGCUGUCUUGCAGUACAUCACCUUUUGGGAGAUCCUUGCACUGACUCCGUGGGAACUGAACCAUAACUUUGCUGCCACUUUCUGGACCGUUACGUACUGCAACGAACAGAGAUUUUAAUGAGCAUUUUUACACUGUACGAAUUCCUCCUAUUGAAUAUUCUUUCUUGUGUAUACUAUACAUUACUCCUACUCAAUUCCAAGCAUGCUGAAAGCAAACAAGGAAAAUUCUUUUUUUUU